rnacentral:rRNA from 1 species
AACGCGAAGAACCUUACCUGGGCUCGAAAUGCAGAUGACAUCCGGUGAAAGCCGGCUCCCGCAAGGGCAUCUGUAUAGGUGCUGCAUGGCUGUCGUCAGCUCGUGUCGUGAGAUGUUGGGUUAAGUCCCGCAACGAGCGCAACCCUCGUCCUCUGUUGCCAUCAGGUCAAGCUGGGCACUCUGAGGAGACUGCCGGUGAUAAACCGGAGGAAGGUGGGGAUGACGUCAAGUCAGCAUGGCCUUUAUGUCCAGGGCCACACACGUGCUACAAUGGCGGAUACAAAGCGCUGCAAGCCCGCGAGGGUGAGCCAAUCGCAUAAAGUCCGUCUCAGUUCGGAUUGCAGGCUGCAACUCGCCUGCAUGAAGUUGGAAUCGCUAGUAAUCGCGGAUCAGCAUGCCGCGGUGAAUGCGUUCCCGGGCCUUGUACACACCG